rnacentral:rRNA from 1 species
AAUAGAUACCAGGUAGUCCACGCCGUAAACGUUGGGCGCUAGGUGUGGGGUCCGUUCCACGGGUUCCGUGCCGCAGCUAACGCAUUAAGCGCCCCGCCUGGGGAGUACGGCCGCAAGGCUAAAACUCAAAGGAAUUGACGGGGGCCCGCACAAGCGGCGGAGCAUGCGGAUUAAUUCGAUGCAACGCGAAGAACCUUACCAAGGCUUGACAUGGGCGGUAAUCCGGUAGAGAUGUCGGGUCCGUAAGGGCCGUUCACAGGUGGUGCAUGGUUGUCGUCAGCUCGUGUCGUGAGAUGCUGGGUUAAGUCCCGCAACGAGCGCAACCCUUGUUCCAUGUUGCCAGCACUUCGGGUGGGGACUCAUGGGAGACUGCCGGGGUCAACUCGGAGGAAGGUGGGGAUGACGUCAAAUCAUCAUGCCCCUUAUGUCUUGGGCUUCACGCAUGCUACAAUGGCCAGUACAAAGGGCUGCGAGACCGUGAGGUGGAGCGAAUCCCAAAAAGCUGGUCUCAGUUCGGAUCGGGGUCUGCAACUGACCCCGU